GAUGAACAAAGCUUUACUUUUCGUACUUGUUCUUGGACUGUUGUUGUGUGCGCAUAAUACAGAUGCGUGGAGACGGCGACGAUGUACAGACAACGACUUUGCACCUGCAUCAGUGAAGAAUUUAAAUGAAGAUAACAAGGAUCGUACGUCUCUCGACUAUAUUGACGACAAUAAUGACGACGAACUAUUUAGUUGCAAAUUCUAGAAACGUUAAAGUAAGAACAACAUUUAUUGGAAUAAAUGAUUUCAAUCUG